GGAAAAAUUAUGUAGGAGGGAAUGACGACUGGACAGCCUGGGGGCUUGCAGAAGAACCCACAUUCCUCUGGGUUCAGGAGAAGAUCACUUCAACACCACGCCACACACCGGGAAGCUAAGGCCACAACACACAAGUGCAGCUUCCUUCUCCAUGCAGUUCGACCAGUGGUCUUCAACCCUGGUCCUCAGGACCCACUGUCCGGUAUGUUCUAGUUGUUUCCCUGUUCC